CUACGGGUCGCUCCAGUUAGGUAUAAUCUACAAUGCGCGCAAGCGUGAUAGUUUGAGUCAGAGUGCGUUCCUUUUUGGAAUGCUUUUGUGAAAUGUAAAAAGUUUCACGAAUAAGGACUGGGUAAGACUAGUGCCAGCCGCCGCGGUAAUACUAGCGGUCCGAGUCGCAGCCAUUUUUAUUGGGUCUAAAACAUCCGUAGCUUGCUUAGUAAGUUUCUUGUGAAAUUUUAUCUCUUAAGGGUAGAGCGAGCAAGAAGUACUGCUAAGCUAGAGACUGGAAGACGUAACGAGUACGUUCAAAGUAAUGGUGAAAUAUUUUAAUCUUGGACGGACUAACAAUAGCGAAGGCACGUUACGAGGACAGUUCUGACAGUAAGGGAUGAAGGCUAGGGGCGCAAAACGGAUUAGAUACCCCGGUAGUC
rnacentral:rRNA from 1 species